UUGCUGUAGUAUCAUGCGGACUAACAUCGGAACAAUGCAGAGAAGUUUAGUAUGGCCCCUGUGUGGGAAUGACCUGCACAUCUGUGAAGUGUUCUAGAUUGUG
ensembl:snRNA U6 U6 spliceosomal RNA